UACGUAGGGUGCAAGCGUUGUCCGGAAUUAUUGGGCGUAAAGAGCUCGUAGGCGGUUUGUCGCGUCGGCUGUGAAAGUCCGGGGCUCAACUCCGGAUCUGCGGUGGGUACGGGCAGACUAGAGUGAUGUAGGGGAGACUGGAAUUCCUGGUGUAGCGGUGAAAUGCGCAGAUAUCAGGAGGAACACCGAUGGCGAAGGCAGGUCUCUGGGCAUUAACUGACGCUGAGGAGCGAAAGCAUGGGGAGCGAACAGG
rnacentral:rRNA from 1 species